AAAAAGUUUGAUUCUGGCUUAUAGAAUUUACUUAUUGAUGAUUGUACAUGUAAGUAUUUGCGUGUUGAACAUGAUCCUAGAUGGUUUGAUCAUUUAUUUGCAGUUCUUAAUUUUAAGAUUUGAAGAAUUUCAGAUUUAGUCAAUUAAUUUAAUUCUGACGAAAGUUGUGCCAGCAUUCGCGGUUAUACAGCUGGGGUAAGUAAAUUAGAUUUAGUUAUAAUUUAAUUUACAAAUUUUUAAUUAAAUAUGAAUUUUUAGGUGAAAUUAGAAGUUUAUUGUAUUUAUGGGUAAAUGAUAAAAAUUAGAAAAUCUUUAUUUAAACUAGGAUUAGAUACCCUAUUAUUUAGAUUGUUAAUUUGUUACUUUAGUAUUAAUAGUUAAGUUCUUAAAAUUAAAAGAAUUUGGCGGUAAUUUAGUCUUUUUAGAGGAACCUGUCCUGUAAUUGAUAGUCCACGAUAAAUUUUACUUUGUUUAUUACUUGUAUACCUCUGUCAUGAAUGUCUUAUAAGGGAAUUUUCUUUAAUCUUUAUUGAGGAUAAUGUCAGGUCAAGGUGUAGUUAUAAUAAAGAAGAGAUGGGUUACAUUAAUUUUAUUUAUGGAUUUAAAUAUGGAAAUAUUAAUGAAAUUGGAUUUAGAAGUAAAUAUUAUUAAAAUAUAAUAUUGAUAUAUUGCUCUGGAUUAUGCACACAUCGCCCGUCGCUCUCAUUGAAUAUUUAAGAUGAGAUAAGUCGUAACAAAGUAGGCCUACCGGAAGGUGGGCCUAGUCAGU
rnacentral:ncRNA from 1 species